GAUCAUUAACAAAGCUUGAAGUUCGCUCAUCUGCGUCUUCAACAAAUCCAUCCACACCUUGUGCAAUAUUGACAUCGAGGCAAGUUCUCUCGGGAACUUGCUGGUCUUGUGGGGGGAAAAACCUAAAGGAUAGGCAGCAAUGCUUCACCUUUAAGCCCCCCAAAAGUAUUUAACCUAUACGUUUUUUGUUUGUCUGAACCUUUUUAUUGAUACAAUAAAAACAACUUUCAACAACGGAUCUCUUGGUUCUCGCAUCGAUGAAGAACGCAGCGAAAUGCGAUACGUAAUGUGAAUUGCAGAAUUCAGUGAAUCAUCGAAUCUUUGAACGCACAUUGCACUCUUUGGUAACCCGAAGAGUAUGCCUGUUUCAGAUAUAAGUCACUAUGAACUCUGAGGGGGUGUUUGCCAACUCAGUUUUCAUGACUUGAACUUUCCGGACUCAUUUACGUGUCUGGUGGUUUAAAAUAAAAGCAUGGACGGUCUUCUUGACUCAUCCGCACGCAAAAGUGUAAUACGAGCUGUCAAAGGCUUCAUUCACUUCUUGCUAGGACGUCAGAUGUAUCGAUUUAAUCCAUGGUCGCAGGAAAUCUGGGGACUACGCAAGUAGAACCUAUCCAUAGCGGCAUCUGAAAUCAGGUAGGACUACCCGCUGAACUUAAGCAUAUCAAUAAGCGGAGGAAAAGAAACUAACAAGGAUUCCCCUAGUAACGGCGAGUGAAGCGGGAAAAGCUCAAAUUUGAAACCUGGCCUCUUCGAGGAAAAUGUCGCAGGGUUGUAGUUUAUAGAGGCGUUUUCGAUGGAAUCCUGGGUAUAAGUCUUUUGGAACAAGGCAUCAUAGAGGGUGAGAAUCCCGUCUUUGACUCAGAGUUUUCCAUUAUGUGAUACGUCUUCAUAGAGUCGAGUUGUUUGGGAAUGCAGCUCAAAAUGGGUGGUAAAUCUCAUCUAAAGCUAAAUAUUGGCGAGAGACCGAUAGCGAACAAGUACCGUGAGGGAAAGAUGAAAAGAACUUUGAAAAGAGAGUUAAACAGUACGUGAAAUUGUUGAAAGGGAAACGUUUGAAAUCAGUCAUUUCUUCUGGAAAUCAGCCUUGCUUUUGCAUGGUGUAUUUUCCAGUUGAAAGGUUAACGUCAAUUUUGGUUGUCGGAUAAAAGCCUUUGGAAUGUGGCUCUCUUCGGGGAGUGUUAUAGCCAGGGUCAAUACGAUGACUGGGAUUGAGGAUUCGCCGCCAAUGCUCUCUGGGCAGUGGCAUCAUGCGCUCAGGUUGACACUCUGCUAGACAGCUUGCUGACUAGUAGCUUGAAGAUUUGACUCGUG
rnacentral:rRNA from 1 species